GAACUGGGAGGCCCACAUGUAGUUUUUGGCGCCAUUCACUGGAGUAGUGAAGUAAUGAGCCAACUGUACACGGCAGUGUAUUUAAGUGAAAAUAAUUCAUACCAUGACAAGGCUUAUGUCGCACUUCGGCGAUACAAGUUGUCAAAAUCCUGCUGAAAGCUUACCUGGCAAGAAAUGAUCAUCCCCUGAGGUGAGCUGCCGUCCCCCAUGUGACCUCCAUUUCCCAUACAGGUAAGUAAUGACAGACCCUCCUCAGGUUAUGAGAUAGUCCCAAAAGUCUUUAGUUCUGGAUUCACUCAUUUUUUUCUUCAUGAACAUUGUUCUGGACUUAAGAGGUUUUUCCUCCCAACACUUUAACUUUAAACUACAGCCUAAGUAGGCCUCUAGGACACGGUGAACAGACAGGUUGAGUGAUACAAAGAGAAAGACACUGUCCACACUUAAACAGUUCAGCAUUUCCUUUUUAACUGUGUAAUAUGAGUAAAAUAAAGUAGCUGUGGGCACAGAUUUACAAUACACUCAUAACUAUUUACACGGUUUGCAUUUUAGCAACAGUCCUCUCUCUUUAGUAGUAAGGUUUUGUCGCCCUCAGCUGUCUGUGUCAUGUCAUUACAACCAUUUUAAUCCAUUGAAUGCAAAGAUGUUUCAGUGGCCAUACAAAGUUAAAGUGAGGCAAUGUUAUGUAAUGUAUAAUCAUCAAAAGUAUUAUUUUAUGCUGUGUCUUUAUGCUUCUCUUCAUUUCUGGAGGAGCUACCUCUUGUUCAUCAUCACUUUUGGCUCAUAAAUUGCACUUUCUGCCUCGGCACAUCAGUUUUUUCAGCUUUUUAGCUGUUUGUUUUACAUGCUUUUGAAAUUAGUCAGGUUGCAUCUUUGUUGAGGUAACAUCGCCACCUGUCUGCUUGGUUUUUUUAGGGGAUUCGUCCUUCUCCUGGUGAAGAUUUACAGAAGCAGACACGCUGUAAGUUUUAUCUUCAUUUUGUUCUUAUUGUGCUGGAAAUGUUUCUGCUUCUGUGCUGCACAGAAGGCCGGAAGAGAAAGUAAAUAUUAAACAGUGGCAAUCUCAUCAGGUCUUUCUAUGAGUAAUACAAGAUUUCGACUGCCUGAACUAUAUAAUCUUGUGAACAAUGUUAUGCACAUUUACGUCAUGGCUGAGGGUGGGUUGAAGGUGAAAUGGAGAUCUGAGGAAGCCCAUGUGGAUACCAUUUGAAUGUAGGAGACAAACAGCAGAUGUCACAUUCGUAACAAACUUUAAAACUAACAUGUAGCUGAGAGAAAACUAUCCAGGGGUUACUCUGUCUCUGUCAUCAUUUAAUGAAACAGCUCCUUGCCUUUUGUCUCUUUCCUGACUCUUGGUCUUAAGUAUUUCCUUCUAUUACUGCUGUGGCAACUGGAUCCAAGGACAACACGUUUUCCUGGAUCUUCAGUGGAAGAGUCAAUGCCAGCACAGCAUAUGUUCAGCAGAAUCCUGGGUGGGGUGGGGGGUGUAGUGCGUCACAUUGCUGGCCCUCACAGGGUCUGGUCCGAGCUCAGGAAUCGUUCCUCAUCAACAACAAGGCAAGAGGAUAAAUAUUAUGAGUCUCUGCCGUGAGAUACUUUCAAGAAUGAGGCUGUUAUAAUGUCAG